ACCUUACCAGGGCUUUACAUUCGGCGUAUCCUCUUGAAAGAGAGGAGUGCCUUCGGGAACGCGGGCACAGGUGGUGCAUGGCUGUCGUCAGCUCGUGCCGUAAGGUGUUGGGUUAAGUCCCGCAACGAGCGCAACCCAA
rnacentral:ncRNA from 1 species